rnacentral:rRNA from 1 species
UACGGAGGGUGCAAGCGUUAUCCGGAUUCACUGGGUUUAAAGGGCGCGUAGGCGGCGCGACAAGUCACUUGUGAAAUCUCCGGGCUUAACUCGGAACGGUCAAGUGAAACUGUCAUGCUAGAGUGCAGAAGGGGCAAUCGGAAUUCUUGGUGUAGCGGUGAAAUGCGUAGAUAUCAAGAGGAACACCUGAGGUGAAGACGGGUUGCUGGGCUGACACUGACGCUGAGGCGCGAAAGCCAGGGGAGCAAACGGG